GACGAACGCUGGCGGCGUGCUUAACACAUGCAAGUCGAACGGGCCCGCCCCUGUUUUUGGGGGUGGGUUGAGUGGCGAACGGGUGAGUAUCACGUGAGUAACCUGCCCCCUGCUCCUGGAUAACUGCUUGAAAGGGCGGCUAAUACGGGGUGUGCCGGCUGGUCCGCAUGGGCCUGGUCGGGAUAGUUUCAUCUUCGGGUGUUUCGGUGGGGGAUGGGCUCGCGGCCUAUCAGCUUGUUGGUGGGGUGAUGGCCCACCAAGGCGGUGACGGGUAGCCGGCCUGAGAGGGUGGGCGGCCACACUGGGACUGAGACACGGCCCAGACUCCUGCGGGAGGCAGCAGUGGGGGGUAUUGCACAAUGGGCGGAAGCCUGAGGCAGCGACGUCGCGUGAGGGAUGGAGGCCGUCGGGUUGUGAACCUCUUUCUCCGGUGGGGAAGGCCCUGUCCGGUGCGGCGGGGUUGACGGUAGCCGGGUAUGAAGCGCCGGCUAACUACGUG
rnacentral:rRNA from 1 species